rnacentral:snRNA from 1 species
AUGCAUUUCAUUAUUCUCU